GACGAACGCUGGCGGCGUGCUUAACACAUGCAAGUCGAACGGAAAGGCCCUGCUUUUGUGGGGUGCUCGAGUGGCGAACGGGUGGGUAACACGUGAGUAACCUGCCCUUGACUUUGGGAUAACUUCAGGAAACUGGGGCUAAUACCGGAUAGGAGCUCCUGCUGCAUGGUGGGGGUUGGAAAGUUUCGGCGGUUGGGGAUGGACUCGCGGCUUAUCAGCUUGUUGGUGGGGUAGUGGCUUACCAAGGCUUUGACGGGUAGCCGGCCUGAGAGGGUGACCGGCCACAUUGGGACUGAGAUACGGCCCAGACUCCUACGGAAGGCAGCAGUGGGGAAUAUUGCACAAUGGGCGGAAGCCUGAUGCAGCAACGCCGCGUGCGGGAUGACGGCCUUCGGGUUGUAAACCGCUUUCGCCUGUGACGAAGCGUGAGUGACGGUAAUGGGUAAAGAAGCACCGGCUAACUACGUG
rnacentral:rRNA from 1 species